rnacentral:lncRNA from 1 species
AAAGGGACAAGGGCAGGUGUGUCAGUCAGGGUCCUGUGGCAGGAAGAAGUACACCUGGAUGCAACUUGGAAGCGAAUUGGACAAAGGGAUGAUUUCAUAGAGGCAAGGGCAGGAAGGGGAACUGCCAGGACUCCGGGGGCGACCGGGACUAGCUGCGGUGGGCAGUCUCCGCCACCACUUAGGCCUCUCGGGAGCUGGAGUCAUGAAGGAGGGACUCCCCGGGGUUGGGGGCUGAGGUCCUGGAGGGGUGCAGCCGUUACUGGCGCGUGGAGGGAUGGGUCUAGCUCUCCAUCUCCCGCCAGCGCCAGACCCAACUGGAACUCAGAGAACAACGGAGCCCAGAAUACCCAGGAGGCAGCGGUGGAGAGGACAAGAACAGCCAGGAGCCCCGACCGGAAGGAGCCCACGAGCACGGCGUGCUGUGCCCAAGGCAGAGCCGGCCAAGCUGCCUUCCUUCAGGAGCAGUUGGUCUGUGCUCAGGACGAAGAGGUUUGCAAGGAAUCACUUGAGGUGUGGCAGGCUGAACAGCCACCCGGAAGGUGUCCCUGUCUAAUCCCCAGGACCCGAGACUCUAUGACCUUACGUUGCGAAGGGAGAUUUGCAGGUGUGAUUAAGUUAACGAUCUUGAGAUGGGGAGGCUAUCCUGGUGGGAUAACCAGUGUUCUCACAAGCCACAAGCCUUAGAAGCCAGAAGAGGGAGCAGAGGGUUGGAUCAGAGAGGGAGAUAGAGGAAGGAGGCAGAGUCAGGGGGCACGCUAAGACCCUAGGCUGCUGAGGAGGAGGGGCCACAAGCCCCGGCUGAGGGCAGCCUGUAGAAACUGGAAAAGAGUUUUCCUCUAGAGCUUUGCAAAGGAACUCAGCCCUGCCGACACCUUGACUUUAGCCUGCUGAAGCCCAUUUGGGACUUCUGACCCCCAGAUCUGUAAGACCCUAAAUUGGUGGUGUUAGCCACUAAUAAGUUUGCAGUAAUUUGCUCCAGCAACAAUCUGAAACUAAUACAUAAAGAAUGCCUGAAAUGCCUCCCCUGGGAGGCAUCAUUGCUCGUCCGCCUAAUGGCCAUUUCUAACAACCCUCCUUCCUUGCCUUCUUCCCAAGUACUAAUACUCCCAACCUCUUUUGCACUCCGGGAUGAUCAGGAGACCCACGGAGUCAUAAGGAAAAGCCAGCUGGGGAAAGAGCCUCUUUCGGAUAAAAGGAGGAGCCACCAUUUCUUACAGAAAAUCAUAGAAAACCAAUAAAUACUUAACUGAAUGCCCCCGGCUCUGGGCU